GGCUCCGUGGCUUAAUGGUUACGGCUUCUGCCUCACAAGCAGAAGGUUCAGGGAUCAAAUCCCGGUCGGUACCU
rfam:Culex pipiens quinquefasciatus supercont3.136 genomic scaffold, whole genome shotgun sequence.